UUGUGUGUGUGUGUGUCCUGCACUACCAGUCAGAAGGAGUUCCACUUAAGGUUCUCAUUUCUUUGUGAACCUGUCUUAUUUAGCGGAUGUGAACAUUCGCAAGUUAUUGUUCUUUUCAAAGCGAUCUGGAUGGUUCAACGGUAGGAACUAGAAGGCAUCUUCCUUUUUCUGUUUCCGUGGUAUCACAAUGGACGAAAACGUCUAAUUACACAAAUUUAUCGUGGAAAAUUUUGCGCUGAAAUAAUGAAAUGCAGAAAAAUGCCGUAUGUGAACAAAUAGAAUGGAUAAAUGCCAAACAUUAUAUUGACUUGGGCGCUGAGGAUGAAGAUAACACAUGUGGAUCUAGAUUUCGCGAUAUUCCACUCAAGAUGCUAAAGGCGCUAUUACACGGGAUGUAGAUGUCUUAUGACAUGUCACUAUUUGUAUGUACAUGUAAUUGAAAAUUUUUGUUAAAAUUGUCAAUUUACAUACGAUUCAUCACUUUUGCCAUUUUUGUUAACAUAACCUAAAAGUCUUAACAAAAACUGAUUUUUUAUGCGUUAAAAUUGUAAAAGUUGUGAGAAAUCAUAAAUUUGUGAAAACAAUUUAAUUUGGGGUUACUUUUAUUCGACUGACAACAAAAAUAGCUGAUUUCUCUAUGUUUUUGUCAGAAGGAAUAGAGCACUCUCUGAUCGAAAAAAAAUUGCAUGUGCUAUUUUGAAAAGUGAUUUUCAUAUGCUCGUUUCGUUUGUAUCACACGACGUGUACAACUCAACAUGUGCUAAAUUUGACAUGUCAUAAGACAACUACAUGCCGUGUAAUAGAGCCUUAAGAUUGGCGGCGUCGCCGACAACGAAGAGAGACUCAAAGUGGAAUCGACCAUUUUUCUUUUUUUAGAAACCUGCGACCAUUAGAAAAAAAUAUAAAUAUUUUUUAGCAAUAUUUUUCAUG